GGUCGCGUGGCUCAAUUGGCAGAGCAUCGUGCUAAAAACGCGAAGGUUGUGAGUUCGAGUCUCACCGUGACCA
rnacentral:tRNA from 1 species